AGAGUUUGAUCCUGGCUCAGAAUCAACGCUGGCGGCGUGCCUCAGACAUGCAAGUCGAACGAUUAAACUUUCCUUCGGGAAAGAUAUAAAGUGGCGCACGGGUGAGUAACACGUAGGUAAUCUACCUUUGAGUGGGGAAUAACUUAGGGAAACUUAAGCUAAUACCGCAUAAUGCAGCGGCACCGCAAGGUGACAGUUGUUAAAGGAGCAAUCCGCUUAAAGAGGAGCCUGCGGCAGAUUAGCUAGUUGGUAAGGUAAUGGCUUACCAAGGCUACGAUCUGUAACCGACCUGAGAGGGUGGUCGGUCACACUGACACUGAAUAACGGGUCAGACUCCUACGGGAGGCAGCAGUCGGGAAUUUUGGGCAAUGGGCGAAAGCCUGACCCAGCAACGCCGCGUGAAGGAUGAAGUAUUUCGGUAUGUAAACUUCGUAAAAAUAGGAAGAAUAAAUGACGGUACUAUUUGUAAGGUCCGGCUAACUACGUGCCAGCAGCCGCGGUAAU
rnacentral:rRNA from 1 species